GACAUAUGCACCUCCUAGAAUCUACGGUGGUAUACUGAUGCUCUGUUUAUUGCCUGUUCAGCACACACCAGACUCCCCAAAGACAGAUGGCGCUCACUGUCUCAUUUUACACCUUUAUAGCUUGGAAACAGACCAUUUCACAGAAGCAGACAGAAAGGGAUUCAGUGCAGAAACAUAAAGAAACAUUCCUCUGGAUGCCUGCAGAUUCCUCUUUUCAGAAGUGGGCAGAGGAGAAGAUAGAAAGGGAUCAGGAUGGGAUCAGGAGGGAUUGUCUUCUGUUUGUUUAGAGGCAUGAAGCUCCUUUCUGAAGAAGGAAAGUCUUCUUAACCAUACUUUGAAAACAAUGCUGCAAACACCAAAAACAUAUUUAAUGGUCUGUGUUAACAACUAAAACUGUGGCCUAAGAAGAAUGAACUUUUCCUGGCUGGGUCCUCUCAGGAGUUGUGUAUCACCACAGGGAACUGCAGUGUGGCUGAGGCUGGCGGGUACCUCUGGAGCUCGUCAAGUCAGGCCUGCUCUGAGCAGGGUCAGCUCAGGACUGUGUCCAGCCUGGCUUUGAAUAUCUCCAAGGAUGGAGACUCCACAACCUCUCUGGGCAACCUGCUCCACUGUUUAACCACCCUCACGGCACAAAAGCUUUUUCUAAUGUAUUUCAGGUUUUGCCCAUUGCCUCUUCUUCUGUCAGUGGGCACUACUGAGAAGAGUCCCCUUCUCUCUUCUUUACUCGCCCCAUCAGGUAUUUAUGCACAUGGAUAAGGUUCUCCUGAGCCUCCUCAUGUCUGGACUAAACAGCCCCUGCUCUUUCAGUCUCUCCUGCUAUGAGAGAUACUUCAAUGACUGAAGCCGUUAGCAACCUUUUCAGAGUGUAGUGUGGGUGUAAUGUGUCCUUGUACAGGAAUCAGAACUGCAUGUUUCGAUAUACAAAAGCUCUAUGUGUCUUUUGUGUAUUGUUGUUUACUUCAUUAAUAACCUCAUUCAAGUAGUGCAGUGGUAGAAUCACAUUUCACCUUUCUCUAUUUGACAUGCUAACUUAUUUCUCUAGCCUGUAUACAAAAUGUUACAGAAAUCCUUCUGAACUUUGAAUCAUCUACCAUCUAUACCAAGAUAUUAUCCUGUACAGAAAUAUCAAUGAUUCCCCACGCCCACCCCCCCCCAAAAUGUGUCAUGGUUACCACA